AAUGAUUAAUAUCACUCAAGACCACUUAGAAAAUGACAAAGUCUGGCUGCUCUGAAGCAAAAUAUGAAGAAACAAGGAGUGACACAAGACUUCUCUUCACACUCUAUAACUAAACAGCUGUGCUCACAAAUGACUCACUCGGUCACAUUAAGGUCACAUUAAGGUCAAAGCUGUGCUGAUCUGCUGUUCUCACUGCUUUUUUGUGUGUUGGUCCAAAGCUGAGCUCUAAGGCGGCUCUAAGCUGGUUUCAGAAUCAGAUACUUUAUUGAUCCCUAGGAGAAAAUAUGUUGGUUACAGUGCUCCAGUACAAACAGUAACAAAACAGACAAUACAAGAAGUAAGAAAUAGCACAAUAUAUACAUACAUAUAAGUCACUUACUGAUAAAUAUCUGAAUAAGAAAGAAGAGCAUGUGUAAAAAGGUGUAGCUAUUGCAGUGUUUACAGUGUGUUAGGUGGAUGAGUUGUACAGGGAAAUGGCCACAUGCAGGAAUGACUUCCUGUGUCGUUCAGUGGUGCUUUUUGGUAAUCUCAGUCACUCACUGAAUGUGUUCCUGUGGCUAGUCGGUACGUCACGGAGUGGGUGGGGGAAGUUAUCCAACAUUGUCUUUGUCUUGGACAACAUUCACCUCUCCAACACCACCUUCAGAGAGUCCAAGAGGAACCCUCUACUCCCCCAGCAUACAACAGCAUAGAGGAUCGCACUGACCACAACAGACACGUAGAAAAUCCUGAGCAUUGUCCGACAGAUGUUGAAGGACCUCAGCUGCCUCAAAAAAUAGAGACGACUCUGGCCAUCCUGUAAAGUGCUGUAGUAUUUUUAGACCAGUCCAGUUUGUCAGCGUAUACUUCGAGGUAUUUGUAGUGUGCAGGAAAUUCUAGCAGGUCAUUAGUCAUAACAAGGAGGCUGGCUGUGUGCCUGGUCACCAGUUACAAAGCAAAUGGCCUGUAAUGGUAAAUGGCCUGUAUUUAUAUAGCGCUUUAAUAGUCCCUAAGGACCCCAAAGCGCUUUACAUAUCCAGUCAUCCACCCAUUCACGCACACAUUCACACACUGGUGAUGGCAAGCUACAUUGUAGCCACAGCCACCCUGGGGCACACUGACAGUACCCCUGACAAUUGUCUGAGUGCUCUGGUAUUCCUGACAGGCUGUUUAACAACCUGCCAUUAAUAGCGCAGAUGUGGAGACGAGCACAGUGCUGCUAAUGUUUAGGGUCCAUUGAAACUCUGUGGACAGAAGUAAGAUCAGCUCAGAUUUGUCCUGUAUCCAUCCUUCACACCAACUGGUCACCAGCAGCCAGCUGAGGAAACAAAAGGCACACUUACAGUCUAAGCUUUGGUUUCCCACUAAUGUUAGAGUUAGCCUCACUGCUACAGUGUCAUGUUGCUGUCACAAGGAAGCCACAGGGAUCCUGCACUCACUCUUCAUAGAAAGUGACUGUGCAGCCAUGAUGGAUGCUCUGAUGCUGAUGGAGAGACGUGAUGUCAGCCAGGAUUCACCUUCAGGGAGGGCAGGAGGGGCUGGAUAGUGAAAGUGUUCACCAUCACUCUGCUCUGCAGCUGGUCUCCUUUUCCACUUUGCGGUCACUUGAUGUUGAAGAGGUGAGUGUGUUAGAGGAAAUGUUAAUGUCAGGUUUAGUCUGUAUGCACUCAGAGGUCAUUUGUACCUGUUGCUGCUGCUGUGGUUGUAAUGAUGUAAACCCUGAUUGGUUGGAUAGUUUGAGUGAAAGCUUUACUGAGGCAAAGCAGAACAGCUGCUGAUCCUGAGCUACUCUUACAAAUGAAAGUUCAGUGAAGAUCAUAUCCUCUAUUGGACCUGACUGAACAGCCAGAGCCUGAUGUUCUCUACAGUCAUGGCCAGAAGAAGCUCCAGUGUCAAAAAUGAAUCACAAAGCUGUUUAUUUUGUUGUUGUUGUAUAUUUACACUGUAAUAAAAAGUAUGUAAAGUGGUGAUCUGUGUUGGGGUCCUUAAUGCUGACUGAAAAUAGUUUGUGACUUCUUAAUGAAAAGUGCCUUUAAAACUCUUUA